rnacentral:misc_RNA from 1 species
AAGUCGUAACAAGGUUUCCGUAGGUGAACCUGCGGAAGGAUCAUUAUCACACGUUAUCCACGUAUAAACCAAUUUCGUGAACUGUAUAUAUUACUUCUUUUUUAUUAACCAAAUCCUUUUUGAGUUAAUUCAAAUGAUUAUUCGGAACUGAUUUUAAUUUAAGUAUUGAAAGAACUAUUCAUUUAGUUUAUUUCAUAUUUAAUAUUUCAUAUUACGAAAUUAUUCGAACAACUCUUAGCAACGGAUAUCUUGGUUCUC